AUGUGCCCCGGACACUCCGGUUCCUCCGCGCCGUCCGCACCCACCUCACGGCUGCUCGCUACGUUUUGUAAGCC
rnacentral:sRNA from 1 species